GAUGGAGGUGGAUAAUCUUAUUCAGGAAGUUGUUUAGUCCCUGGCAAGAAGUUGGCAAGACCACAGAUUUUCAGACUUUGGGGAAAAUAUAAAAAAUAUUUAACCGGAGGUACACUCUAUGAUUUCAGCCUGAUUUAGACCUGAUUUUUGAGUCUUUAUGUCGACCAGGCGGAUGAUUUUCUGGCAUGAUUGACAUUUUGGUUAAAUUACUGCACACACUAUGCAGCACAGAGUGAACAGGAACAGGAACAGCUGAGAGGGAUACAGAGGGAGGGAGGAGCUUCAAAGAGAUAAGUGACAGGACUGUCCGUGUAGUUGCUUGACAAAACACGUUAAUGACCUCCAUGUUUAAAGUUCCCUCAGUUAUCUUCUUUCUCCAACGAUCUGCGUCUGUCCGACCUCCCAGAAUGGAUGUGAAGGUGAAAAUAUCAAACCCUCACCUACAGCAGAUAGCAGGAAACUCGAGGAAAGAGAACACAGCCAGCCGGAGAUCUUCAGGCUGAACAUCAGAUCUGUUAAUGGACGACCUGAGAUGGACUCUGCUUUGUUUUCAUUCAGUCACUGAGAAUGGUGCGAUACUGAAGUCAGAAGACGUUUCAUACCUCACAAAUUCAUCACUCAAGAGGUCAGCCCGAACGGCCAAGGCCUCCAGGACAUCAUCCCGGAUCUGUUUCAGGAGCUGACUGUCCUCCGCAAAGGCCUGUGGGUCGGGGUCACGACCUUUGUCCGUGCGAAACUUCAGCAGAACUGUGGAGAUGGAGAGAGACGACGGAGAGAUCUUAAAAAGAGGAAGUAACAUGAACAGGAGGAAAGAAAAAGAACCGUUCAGAGGUCUGGAAACAAGAGUGAGAAACUUUUUUUUUUUUUUCGUGGAGCAAUAUUUUCCAUCCACAGUAAUCUGUUGCAUUAACGCCGUCUGUAGUUUCAUCACGCAUUAUAAGUGACAGCCACACUCAAUUAUCAUGUCGUGGAAAGACGUCUCAUCUUGUCUGCUGCUUUCUUUUCAGACACGAUAAGAUCAGUGUGUGGUUGCACCAUCAACCAUUUUCAUACGUUUAUCCACAUCAAAUUUAAAAAUGUGCAUGUGAAGACUGCUGCACACACACAACCUGUGCAUGUUCAGUGAGGAAACACUCUUUCCUGUGUCGUGCUGCAGGGUCGACUGAGAAAUCAGAAACGUGCACUUUUAUUUGGUCCUGAAGAAGAUUUCAUCAACACCAACAGACUUCUCUAACUCUGCCACACACAUCAACACCUCGCCCCCGUGCUUCCUGUUCGUCCAUUAACUUCAACCGCAAGAGGAAGUCCUCCCACGGCCAUUUCCACCAGAAUGACUGACACACACACACACACACACACACACACACACACACACACACACAAACACACACACAGAGCGAAUUAAAUGAUUAAAACUUAAAGGAAAGUUAAAGGCUGGCACAAAUGGCAUCACAACUCAGUCAAAAAAAUCAAAACAGAGUUUCAUAAGAGGAUCUAAUAACGAGCACAUGGAUGGAACAACGAUCGUAAUCUCCAAACCGACACACCGAGUAGUGACACAUUACAGGAUAAAGUGGAGGCGAUAUAUUCAACAUGGACCCUUUGAUUUCCUCUGCAUGAGAAGGUCAAAUACUUUUGAUGUGAAACAUUAUUUACCCCCAUCUUAAAUGGUGUGGUGGUAUUUUUAAGCACAGGUCAUAUUGCAACAUAAUAGAGAUAAAAGAAAGCACGCACACGCUGGAAAUAAAUUCACCACAAACACUCAUCAUAUCAUGCAAUCAUAUUAUGAAGUCCUCAAAUACUGAUGUACAAGCUGCAAUAUAACAUGUUCAGUGUUUUAUGUGCACUGUGUGUGUGUGUGUGGUACUUUUUACUCCUGAGACUGUAUAAUAUAUACAUGUGCAAUGACUGCAGCUCUGUAAUGACUCUUUGCUGCUGUAAACCCUGAAAAUGACGGGCGACAUCACUCAGGCUUCAAACAUUCAUAUUUACAGUCUAAGAUCAGCUGCAGCUCGCUGACCUCUGAGAGAGGUCGGUCAGGUAACCCCAGGAUGUAAUGAACUGUUCUGAACAGCCCUUCUCAAGGACCCAUAAAGACACUUCUGCCUGCAGGACGAGCUUGAAUUUGCACAAAACUUUAUGUAUGGUGCAUUUCUUCAAUUUAAAGUCAUCGCACAUUUGUACUUACAGUAGCUCAAACAUCGGCUUUAGGAUGGUAAAGUUUGACUUGACUCAAUCAGAUUAAGACGUGUUUUUAUUUCAGAUAUAUUCAGUAGUACUUUAGUCUUACAUACUUGAAUAAAUACAUUUAUCAGUAUAAAUAUG